UGGUACAUGGGUGUCCUUAUCUUCUUCUU
rnacentral:piRNA from 1 species